AUGCUUGAUUGCCGUCACGGUCGCGUCCUUCUCACGAACGAGCCGCCGCAAGACCACGUCAUCGUGUGCGACCCCAUCAUCGGUGAGCAGCGCCGUGUGCAGGUUCCGCCAGAGUUCAAACUAUGCUAUGAUGUCAACUGGGCUGUGCUCUGCUCUGCCAGCAACCAUGACCAUGUGCACGGCAGCUGCCACUCGAGCCCCUUCAAGUUGGUGUUGAUCUCUCCACUGGGAGAGGAUAACCGACUUGCCGCCUGUGUUUACUCCUCCGAGACUGGCAUAUGGAGCAAUAUCAUCUCAACGGCCGUGCCGUACGAGAUUCAUUAUGUUGGUAUCUCUGGGCUGCUUGUUGGUAAUUCACUUUGCUGGUUGCUGGAUCCUAUAAGCGAUGGCAUACUUGAGUUUGAUUUGGAUGAUGAAAGUCUAGCUGUGAUCAGGGGGCCUCUUGUUACUAAUGAUUUCAGCCAUGACAGUCCUUGGAUCAUCCAUGCUGAGGAUGGAGCUCUUGGCUUCGCCGUAUUGUCUUACCAUCACUUGCAAUUGUGGCAGAGGAAUACCAAUUGUCAUGGUGCUGCCACAUGGGUGCUACGGAACACCAUUGACAUGCGUGCCAUUCUUGGGCUCCCUCCCCAGAUUGAAGUAAUGAAGAAAGGUAUACUGGGAUGCGUAGAGGAUGCAGAUGAAAUACUUCUAUGGGUGGGCCGCAGUGUCUAUAUGGUUCAACUUAAGUCAAUGCAGUCUAGGAAACUUUGUGAAAUCAGUCAUUUUACCUACUGUCAUUCUUUCAAGAGUUUCUAUCCUCCAGGCACAACCAUUGCUGGUGGACAUGAUGGAGCUGAAAUGUUGCACGAGACAUAG
rnacentral:rRNA from 1 species